rnacentral:rRNA from 1 species
UACAGAGGGGGCAAGCGUUGUUCGGAAUUACUGGGCGUAAAGGGCGCGUAGGCGGACUUCUAAGUCGAACGUGAAAUCCCUGGGCUCAACCCAGGAACUGCGUCCGAUACUGGAAGGCUUGAAUCCGGGAGAGGGAUGCGGAAUUCCAGGUGUAGCGGUGAAAUGCGUAGAUAUCUGGAGGAACACCGGUGGCGAAGGCGGCAUCCUGGACCGGUAUUGACGCUGAGGCGCGAAAGCCAGGGGAGCAAACGGG